rnacentral:rRNA from 1 species
AUGAACUACAAAAUUUCUGUUCUGUUAUAUCUUGGUGAAUGUCUCGCCAAUUGCCAUACAAAUACAUGUGUGCUUCUCCUGUCGUGCAUUUGCUGGGUAAGCUGCUGCUACCCGGGCUCACAUGACCCCGUGGAGGAAGGAGCUGCGCAAGGAAUCACUGCCAAAAGACUCAAGACGAGUUUGGAGUGUCCUGGAUUCCAGGCCAUGUUCCGCAAGGAAGAAGCAACCGCCGGCGCUCACGGAGGAGAACCUGAUGUUCCUAGAGGCCUGACGCGCGGUCGGUCACACUUACUACGACAAGUCCUCCAACGGGUGGAGCUGGUUCAGGUACCACAAGCACCCUCCAUGACAAGCAGGUUCCAGUUGUGCAAAGUCUGCCUGCUACUGCUAUCCAUACUGCACCAUAGCAAAAUAGCUUUGGAUCAGGACUAA